rnacentral:rRNA from 1 species
UACGUAGGGUCCGAGCGUUGUCCGGAAUUAUUGGGCGUAAAGAGCUCGUAGGCGGUGUGUCGCGUCGGCCGUGAAAACUCGGGGCUUAACCCCGGGCCUGCAGUGGGUACGGGCAGACUAGAGUGCGGUAGGGGAGACUGGAAUUCCUGGUGUAGCGGUGAAAUGCGCAGAUAUCAGGAGGAACACCGGUGGCGAAGGCGGGUCUCUGGGCCGUAACUGACGCUGAGGAGCGAAAGCGUGGGGAGCGAACAGG